rnacentral:pre_miRNA from 1 species
GGAGGAAUGGCUGGGUCAAAUGGUAGUUCCAAUCCCAGUUUUCUGAAGAAUCUCCAAAUUGCUUUCCAUAGAUGUUGCACCAAUUUGCAGUCCCACCAGCAAU